rnacentral:rRNA from 1 species
AGCAGCCGCGGUAAUUCCAGCUCCAAUAGCGUAUAUUAAAGUUGCUGCAGUUAAAAAGCUCGUAGUUGAAUUUCGGGACUAAUAUGUCGGUCGUGCCUCGGUACGUACUGGUAUUUUUGGUCUCUCCCUUCUGACGAACCUUGAUGUCAUUAAUUUGGUGUCUUGGGAAAUCAGGACUGUUACUUUGAAAAAUUAGAGUGUUUAAAGCAGGCUCACGCUUGAAUACAUUAGCAUGGAAUAAUGAAAUAGGACGUUUGAUUCUAUUUUGUUGGUUUCUAGGAUCGACGUAGUGAUUAAUAGGGAUAGUUGGGGGCAUUAGUAUUCAAUUGUCAGAGGUGAAAUUCUUGGAUUUAUUGAAGACUAACUACUGCGAAAGCAUUUGCCAAGGAUGUUUUCAUUAAUCAAGAACGAGAGUUAGGGGAUCGAAGACGAUCAGAUACCGUCGUAGUCUUAACCAUAAACUACGCCGACUAGGGAUCGGAUGAUGUAAUUUUUAAUGACUCAUUCGGCGCCUUACG